GCCCUCAUUUUGGUUAAUUUUUGUUAUUUUCAAUUUAGUACAUUUAUUAAAGCGAUAGCAACAGUUUAAUUGAGUUAUUCCAUUGGAUUUUAUCUCUUAUCUGGCAGUUUUUGGUUGCCAAGAAUUGUAAGAUUAGUUAUCACUGACCUAUUUCACUAAUCUGUAAAUAUGCAGGAAUGAAGUAUUGAUUUUGUUGAUGAUGGUUCUUGAAUGGAUUUGCUUAUAAGUUUCGCUAAACUAAACUAUUUUGUAGUUCACCACAGUUCACUUGUAAUAGCUGUGCUCCUAGUUGUAUAGGGAGGUCGUAAUUAGUGGUACUGAGGAAUGAGAACUUCCCCUUUUUAGAUUUACCCACUAUUAUUCUGUUAAAAGAGAAUUAAAUAUGGAUUUCUUGUACAUGCUUCAAGUUUUUGUACAGAUAAAAAUUUCAGAAUCUUUAUAUGUAUCAGCAGACUAUUUUGAGGGGAAGGAGCUGGGAGGAGAAUUCAGGGGAGGGGAAGGAGAAGGGGAAGAGUAAGGUUGAUCAGCAUGCUAUUUUGAGGACCCAGGUACUAUACGAUUAUUGAAGCCGAUCACAUCUUUUUUAUUGUAAAUCAAGAGAGAGCAGGAGUACAGUUUAGCAAUUUGAAUUAGAAGCCCUCAAUGUGCUGAGUGUAAUACUAAUUAUGACUUGAAGCAUUGAAAGUUCUCUGCGGCUCCGAUUGUAAAUAAACAUAUAAAUAGAAAAUUAGUUAUUAUCUAUGUAAACAACUUAUGUAUCGCGUUCCUUUUUGUUAAUAGAGAUUAUUAGACCUGUUUGCCGAUGCACUGACAUCCAUUGUAAAUAAUUUAUGUAAAAGUUUGUAAACAAUUUAUGUAUCUUUCUACUAUUUUGUUGAAUGUAUUUUUUGAAUAUAAUGGGAUUUGAUAUUGGAAUAUAAUUAGAUUGUGUUGGAUAUGAAUAUAA